rnacentral:rRNA from 1 species
UACGGAGGGUGCAAGCGUUGUUCGGAAUCAUUGGGCGUAAAGCGCGUGUAGGCGGCUUGGCAAGUCGGUUGUGAAAGCCCGGGGCCCAACCCCGGAAUUGCAUCUGAAACUGCCUCGCUAGAGUCCCGGAGAGGAAGGCAGAAUUCCCGGUGUAGGGGUGAAAUCCGUAGAUAUCGGGAGGAAUACCAGCGGCGAAGGCGGCCUUCUGGACGGUGACUGACGCUGAGACGCGAAAGCUAGGGGAGCGAACAGG